rnacentral:rRNA from 1 species
GACGAACGCUGGCGGCGUGCUUAACACAUGCAAGUCGAACGGAAAGGCCCCUUUGGGGGUACUCGAGUGGCGAACGGGUGCGUAACACGUGCGUAACCUGCCCUUGACUUCGGGAUAACUUCAGGAAACUGGGGCUAAUACCGGCUAGGAAUCCUUGCUGCAUGGUGGGGGUUGGAAAGCUUCGGCGGUUUUGGAUGGACUCGCGGCUUAUCAGCUUGUUGGUGGGGUAGUGGCUUACCAAGGCUUUGUCGGGUAGCCGGCCUGCGAGGGCGACCGGCCACAUUGGGACUGAGAUACGGCCCAGACUCCUACGGGAGGCAGCAGGGGGGAAGAUUGCACAAUGGGCGGAAGCCUGAUGCAGCAACGCCGCGUGCGGGAUGACGGCCUUCGGGUUGUAAACCGCUUUCAGCAGGGGCGAAGCUUGUGGUGACGGUACCUGCAGAAGAAGCACCGGCUAACUACGUG